rnacentral:rRNA from 1 species
GACGAACGCUGGCGGCGUGCUUAACACAUGCAAGUCGAGCGGGAUCCAACCGGUGGCAACACCGGGGAAGAUCUAGCGGCGAACGGGUGAGUAACACGUGAGCAACCUGCCCCGAAGACUGGGAGUAACACCGGGAAACCGGUAGCUAAUACCGGAUGUCGUCAUUAGGCCGCAUGACCUGAUGAUGAAAGGAUUCAUCGCGUUCGGGAGGGGCUCGCGGGCUAUCAGCUGUUGGUGAGGUAACGGCUCACCAAGGCGACGACGGCUCGCUGGUCUGAGAGGACGACCAGCCACACUGGGACUGAGACACGGCCCAGACUCC